GUCUACACCAACAGUCAUCUGAAGAAGAGACUGAUGAAGGAAUUAAAGAAUUGGUAGAUAUAACACUGUAGAAAAUGAAUUUGGACUUCACACGUUUAUCUUGAAAAUGUAAUCAGCUCUGGUUGAGACAGGGCUGGCAAGGGCCUCUUCCCUGGUUUACUCUCCCAAAAGCAGACUACAACAGGAAUGGAGUAUGGAAGAUGUGGUAAAGAUGAAAUUGGCUAUGUGUUGAUGAUUGCUAAUGUUAAUAUUAAUAAAUGGGAGAUAUGUUAACUUAGUCUCUCUGCCUGUGUGUUUUGAAAUUUCCAUAAUAAGAGUUUUUGAAAAGUAAGACCACGUAUACAAAUGCAUCUUGUAGAGGCUAGAAUGCUGCAGAUGAAAGAGAGCUUAACUAAAGUGUCCAAGGCCAAACAAGUCAUAGUUUAAUUCUGAGGUCAGCAGCACAGCAAAAAGGUCUUAAGAGGAAG